rnacentral:rRNA from 1 species
GUCGAACGGCAGCACGGAGCUUGCUCUGGUGGCGAGUGGCGAACGGGUGAGUAAUAUAUCGGAACGUACCCUGGAGUGGGGGAUAACGUAGCGAAAGUUACGCUAAUACCGCAUACGAUCUAAGGAUGAAAGUGGGGGAUCGCAAGACCUCAUGCUCGUGGAGCGGCCGAUAUCUGAUUAGCUAGUUGGUAGGGUAAAAGCCUACCAAGGCAUCGAUCAGUAGCUGGUCUGAGAGGACGACCAGCCACACUGGAACUGAGACACGGUCCAGACUCCUACGGGAGGCAGCAGU